rnacentral:rRNA from 1 species
CUGCGAAAGCCGGAUUAAUACCGCAUACGAUCUACGGAUGAAAGCGGGGGACCUUCGGGCCUCGCGCUAUAGGGUUGGCCGAUGGCUGAUUAGCUAGUUGGUGGGGUAAAGGCCUACCAAGGCGACGAUCAGUAGCUGGUCUGAGAGGACGACCAGCCACACUGGGACUGAGACACGGCCCAGACUCCUACGGGAGGCAGCAGUGGGGAAUUUUGGACAAUGGGCGCAAGCCUGAUCCAGCAAUGCCGCGUGUGUGAAGAAGGCCUUCGGGUUGUAAAGCACUUUUGUCCGGAAAGAAAACCUCGUGGUUAAUACCCGUGGGGGAUGACGGUACCGGAAGAAUAAGCACCGGCUAACUACGUGCCAGCAGCCGCGGUAAUACGUAGGGUGCAAGCGUUAAUCGGAAUUACUGGGCGUAAAGCGUGCGCAGGCGGUUCGCUAAGACAGAUGUGAAAUCCCCGGGCUUAACCUGGGAACUGCAUUUGUGACUGGCGAGCUAGAGUAUGGCA